UUGCCAAUGAAACAUCUAUCAUCCAUACUUACCAGUAACAAACCACAUUUGCAGAGUUGAAUAAAAUACAGUUGAUAACAUUUACUUAUUUCUAAAAAGAAAAUGCCUAACUAUUUUAAACAGUAUUUGAAUAUCAAUUAUAUGGUCAUUUUUAUAAACUUCCUGUUACAAAACUUUGAAUUUUUCGAAAAACUAAGGAUUUUCUUAUCCAAGGAAUAGAUUACCUUAGCCGUAUUUGGCACAAUUUUUUGGAAUUUUGGGUCCUCAAUGCUCUUCAACUUUGUACUUGUUUGGCUUUAUAACUAUUUUGAUCUGAGCGUCACUGAUGAGUCUUAUGUAGACGAAACGCGAGUCUGGCGUAUUAAAUUAUAAUCCUGGUACCUUUGAUAACUAAUUUGACUAUAAACAUAGAUAAAAAAGGUACAAACUGGAUAUAAUGCACAAGUUCAUAAACAAGUGAGAACAAACGCCUUCAUGUAGUGCUCAGAAUAUGACAUUCAUAAAACUUGUUCAAUAUCAUUAGAGAACUCUAAAUCUUAAAUACUGAAAGCCACCUCUGAUAAGUACACUGUACUAUGCAAGAUAAUGAUAUAACUGGACUAAAAAUACACACAACCUGUAAUUAACUGCCUUUACAGCGCUUUCGCGCUUUGAUUUAUUUGUGGACCCGCUAUCAAAUUGGUUCAUAUUGAGGUCAAAAGGGUCCAAAAUUAAACUUUGUUUGAUUUCAUCAAAAAUUGAAUUAUUGGGGUUCUUUGAUAUGCCAAAUCUAACCGUGUAUUUAGAUUUUUAAUUUUGGGUCCCGUUUUUAAAUUGGUCUACAUUAAGGUCAAAAGGGUCCAAAAUUAAACUUAGUUUGAUUUUAACAAAAAUUGAAUUCUUGGGGUUCUUUGAUAUGCUGAAUCUAAACAUGUGUUUAGAUUUUUGAUUAUGGGCCCAGUUUUCAAGUUGGUCCAAGUUGGGGUCCAAAAUUAAACUUUGUUUGAUUUCAACAAAAAUUGAAUAUAUGGGGUUCUUUGAUAUGCUGAAUCUAAACAUGUAUUUAGAUUUUAGAUUUUUGGCCCAGUUUUCAAGUUGGUCCAAAUUGGGGUCCAAAAUUAAACUUUGUUUGAUUUCAACAAAAAUUGAAUAUAUGGGGUUCUUUGAUAUGCUGAAUCUUACCAUGUAUUUAGAUUUUUUAUUUGUGGGCCCGCUAUCAAAUUGGUUCAUAUUGAGGUCAAAAGGGUCCAAAAUUAAACUUUGUUUGAUUUCAUCAAAAUUGAAUUAUUGGGGUUCUUUGAUAUGCCAAAUCUAACCGUGUUUUUAGAUUUUUAAUUUUUUUGUCCCGUUUUUUAAAUUGGUCUACAUUAAGGUCCAAAGGGUCCAAAAUUAAACUUAGUUUGAUUUUAACAAAAAUUGAAUUCUUGGGGUACUUUGAUAUGCUGAAUCUAAACAUGUGUUUAGAUUUUUGAUUAUGGGACCAGUUUUCAAGUUUGUCCAAGUUGGGGUCCAAAAUUAAACUUUGUUUGAUUUCAACAAAAAUUGAAUAUAUGGGGUUCUUUGAUAUGCUGAAUCUAACCAUGUAUUUUGAUUUUGGACAUUGGACCAUAAUAGGUAAAUUAAAAAAAUUGAAGUUCUUAGACCACAUUCUUUCUGUGUCAGAAACCUAUGCUGUGUCAAAUAUUUAAUCACAAUCCAAAUUCAGAGCUGUAUCAAGCUUGAAUGUUGUGUCCAUACUUGCCCCAACUGUUCAGGGUUCGACCUCUGCGGUCGUAUCAAGCUGCGCCCAGCGAAGCAUUUUAUUAUGUUAUUUUA